UGCACCAAUCUUCUUCUUCUUCUUCUUUUUCUUCUUCUUCUUCUUUUUUCCAAUUGACAUCAGCGGACAGUUCAUGGCCUGACUCAAUGUGCAGGUGUUGCCCACUCAUUAUCGAUCUGAUUUUAAAUCAAGGAAAACUGGAGUAUGCAAAAGUUCUCAUAAAGAGCCUGUAAGUGAUGAGGUCUGAUCACUGUCAAUAGCAACAUAAUUUCCAGUUGUGUCAACCAAUAUGGGUCCCACCAUGAUGUAUGCAUGACAUUCACUCUGACCAUCAGGGAAAUUGAUGGGGACAUCAGAGGACCUACUCGAAUGUACCAGAGACGGAGAGGACCACUCGCAUCAGCGCAGCUUUCUUUGUGGAUGGGUGAUGAGUUCCAGAUGGGGCCCGCCAGGCCAUUUUGAAGACCCCACAUGCAUUGAACGUGCAUCAGGAAGACCCCACCUUAGGAUGAUUCAUGU